UUCUACUCAAUAAGUGCUCCUAUAAUUUCCUGGUAUACAUUUAUUCCGAAAACUAAUACUAUUUUCUUGUAAGUUCACCAAACCACCUUAGCAUUUCCAUAUACAAUACACUUUUCAUUUGGUCUGCACUCGAGUGGCAAAAAUUAACUAUAAAACUACAAUUUAUGAUUGCCAACCUAAUAGUUCUGUACAGUUCUGCUUUAUUUUAUUUUUAAUGGCGUACAGUUCUCCUUUAUGUUUGAUGGUUCAAAUCAUGACCACAAGCAAUUUAUUCAUCCAUCUUGAAUCCUAUGUCAGAUCUUUUCUCAAAGAUGGAUCAAGAGAUACCA
rnacentral:lncRNA from 1 species